CUGACUCCAGGGUUUCCUCUCAUUAAAGGUCAAGGAAGGUAAAGGAGUUCGGACCCAGAUUGUCUAGUUCCCCCGCUGGCCAAGCACUGGUGGGGCCUCUUUGAACUGAACUCAGCCGCAACUCUCUGCCUUUGCAGAUUCAGAAGCCAAGGUCUCGACAAAACAGCAGAAUGGCCCAAAGCUCUUGGGGGGGCACCAGGCAGAGCUGGGCUGUGGGGCUCAGGAAGGACAAGGAGGAUGAAGGCCGAGAUGAGGUUCCAGUGGAUGAUGUUUCUCAGGCACCGGAUGCUCCUGGGGCGACAGGUCAGGCAUGAGGCCAGAGCAACAAGAGAGAGGAUCAAGGACCGGCUGCUCAAAUAUAUAGAAAAGGAGGGACAUUCCCUGCUGGGAACGGCGCUGCACACCUAUAAUCUCAGGACUCGGGAGGUUGAGGCAGAGGAUCAGCACAAGCUCAAGG